UCUAACACUGACAGCAGAACAUGGUCUCAAGUGGUGUCUGUCCAGGAGAACUGAUGCACACAGAGAUGGUGCCCAAAGCGGAGAUGUUCCUGAUGCAGCGGGAUGCCCUGGCUCUGCCGUGUGUCCUCUAGGGUGAGCAGCCAGCACUGACCCCAUAAGUGAUGGCAGGGCACGCCGUGAGGAGCAUGUGGCCCCAGGGACUGGCACCCCCACCUCAUGGGACACAGACACAGGAACACCCUGUGCCUGGAUGUGUGUGAGCAGAUGUGGCUCACGUUUUGCUUGCUCGAAGCUGAGAGGCAGCUGUGCUUCUGAAGGCAGCGCUCUGUGUUCUCACCAAGAUGGGCACAGAGGAAUGUGAUUGCCCGUGGUCCUCCCCAGGGAGGGUCCUUGGAAGUCCUGAGUGCUGUUCUGGGCACAAAUGUUUCAAUAAUCUGAGGACACAUAGAUCUGAAGUGCAGAUGCUGAAUUCCAAUGGCAAGUAUUCAAGAUGAUGGUGUGGUAAAUUUAAGGUACUUCCUAAGUGAGUCAGUGCUAAAACGGGAUCCACCUGGGGCCGUGCUGCCCUGUAGCACUCUUAUUUGACCCCCAUGAUGUGCAUAGUAUGCAGGGUAAGUUAUGAGUUAGAAGAGGUUUCAUUUGUUUUCUGGAGGAACCCACCCAGCCUCUAUGAUAGAUACCAGGCAUUGCUCAGCCAGCAGUACAGUUCUGUUGGGUCAGAAGGAAGAAGUCACCAUAGAAUGGCCUGGGUUGAAAAGGACCACAAUGCUCAUCCAGUUCCAACCCCCUGCUAUGUGCAGGGUCACCAACCAGCAGACCAGGCUGCCCAGAGCCACAUCCAGCCUGGCCUUGAAUGCCUGCAGGGAUGGGGCAUCCACAGCCUCCUUGGGCAACCUGUUCAGUGCGUCACCACCCUCUGGGUGAAAAACUUCCUCCUCAUAUCCAACCUAAACCUCCCCUGUCUCAGUUUAAAACCAUUCCCCCUUGUCCUAUCACCAUCCACCCUCAUAAACAGCCUUUCCCGCUCCUGUUUGUACGCUCCCUUCAAGUACUGAAAGGCCACAAUGAAGUCUCCCUGGAGCCUUCUCUUCUCCAAUCUAAACAAGCCCAG
ensembl:lncRNA